AUUUUUAUUUUAUUUUUUAUUUAUUUUUUUAAUAUCUGAUACGUCCCCUAUCUGGGGACCAUAUAUUACAUGGAUUUUUGGAACAGGGAGAUGGAAGAAGAGCUUGCUCUGUCCACUCCACGCAUCGACCUGGUAUUGCAGUACCUCCAGGACCGGUGCACUUCUC
rnacentral:snRNA from 1 species